AGAGCGAACGCUGGCGGCAUGCCUAACACAUGCAAGUCGCACGGUCGGGGGGAGACUUCCGGCAGUGGCGGACGGGUGAGUAACGCGUAGGGAUCUAUCCUUGGAUGGGGGACAACCGCGGGAAACCGCGGCUAAUACCGCAUGAUGCCUGAGGGCCAAAGCUCGCGAGAGCGUCUGGGGAGGAGCCUGCGUCCGAUUAGCUAGUUGGUGGGGUAACGGCCCACCAAGGCGACGAUCGGUAGCUGGUCUGAGAGGAUGAUCAGCCACACUGGGACUGAGACACGGCCCAGACUCCUACGGGAGGCAGCAGUGGGGAAUAUUGGACAAUGGGCGCAAGCCUGAUCCAGCAAUGCCGCGUGGGUGAAGAAGGUCUUCGGAUUGUAAAGCCCUUUCGGCGGGGACGAUGAUGACGGUACCCGCAGAAGAAGCCCCGGCUAACUUCGCGCCAGCAGCCGC
rnacentral:rRNA from 1 species